rnacentral:rRNA from 1 species
UCUACGGGAGGCAGCAGUGAGGAAUAUUGGACAAUGGGCGGGAGCCUGAUCCAGCCAUGCCGCGUGCAGGAAGACUGCCCUAUGGGUUGUAAACUGCUUUUUUACGGGAAGAAACACCCCCACGCGUGGGGGCUUGACGGUACCGUACGAAUAAGGACCGGCUAACUCCGUGCCAGCAGCCGCGGUAAUACGGAGGGUCCGAGCGUUAUCCGGAAUCAUUGGGUUUAAAGGGUCCGUAGGCGGGCGAUUAAGUCAGUGGUGAAAGUCUGCAGCUCAACUGUAGAAUUGCCAUUGAUACUGGUCGCCUAGAAUUAGUGUGAAGUGGCUAGAAUAUGUGGUGUAGCGGUGAAAUGCAUAGAUAUCACAUAGAAUACCGAUUGCGAAGGCAGGUCACUAACACUAUAUUGACGCUGAUGGACGAAAGCGUGGGGAGCGAACAGGAUUAGAUACCCUGGUAGUCCACGCCGUAAACGAUGGAUACUAGCUGUCCGGCCUGCAUUGGCAGGCUGGGUGGCCAAGCGAAAGUGAUAAGUAUCCCACCUGGGGAGUACGUUCGCAAGAAUGAAACUCAAAGGAAUUGACGGGG